rnacentral:lncRNA from 1 species
GUAGUACCCCGAGGUGGUCUAGCUUAGGGGUUUAAAAGACAAUGAAUCAAGUUGUAAUAAAUUGUAAUAUCUAGAUUGUAAUUUGGAAGUUGAAUGUAAAAGAAAAUUGUGAUGUAAGAAUGUAUUUAGUGUGAAUGCUUGUAAUAGCAAGUAGUUUUAUAUUUUUGAUACUUCCUUAUGCAAUCUUUGAUUGAAAUGUGUUCCUGGUUGGAAAUUCGUACAUUGUAUUGAUUGCGACGCCUAAGAUGUACAGAAAAAACUCUAUCCGUUCGGCAGUCUGUCGGCGUGCCCGAACCCCACCAAAUAGGCGGGGCGCGGGGCGUGACAUGAAUAGUUACUACUUUCAGAUCUAGAGAUGGGGGAAGAGCAAGGGAGUCCUCCAAGUCCUAAUCCGUGCCAAUCCGACUCGACCCGAACCCCCUCUCCGGAUCAAAAUAGUGUUUAUAGGGUUUUUAUCAAUGUCUAUCUCUUCGGAUUUAUGAAAAAAGAAGGUAAUCGAACGAUUUUUUCAAUAGAGGAAGCUAAUUGGAGAGCAAUAAUGGACGGUUCGAGGGGUAGGUUUGGAAAAUGAAAAUCCUAAACUUAAUUUUUCUUUUCUUUAUUUUAAUCUCGAAUUCUUACUACGUAUUCAUUUAGAAUUUAAUUUAUUUGCAUUAUUUUUGAUAUGGUGAUUGUAUCAAUCAAGGAUUUGAUUUAUAUGCAUUAUUUUGAUUAAUUUGGAGGUUAUUUUUUUAUUUCAUAAUUGAUGUGGCAGUUUUGGCCCGCAACUUUUGAUCAUUUCAUGCCAAAAAAGGUGCAAAAUCCUGUAAAUUUUCAUCAGAUUUUCAUUGCCAUCGUCGUCAUCAUCGCAACAUUAUUAUCUCCAUCUUUAUACGACCUUUGUAGGUUUUUUGUUUUGAAUAUUGAUUCUGGGCAGUUAUCGAUUUUCAAUGGUCAUAUUGGUUAGUUCAAUUCAUACGUUUCUCUACCCAAAAAAUAAAACACACUUGAAUUUUUAUUUUCCAAACUUCUUUCUUCUUACUCUUUAAUAUUUUUUAAUUUUUCUUCUAUUAUUUAUCCGCGGCAUCGCGCGGGUUACUACACUAGUAUAUAUAGAGUCCGGCUACUAUCCUAUUAAUAGGAUUGAGACCGUUGUCCUAUCAAAUCGUUUUGAAUAGCCGACACUCCAAAUUGAUAAUCGGCACCGUUGAAAUUGAUCUACACUAUAAAAAAUAUUUAAAUCGUUUUGAAUAAUCGACACUCCAAAUUGAUAAUCGGCACCGUUGAAAUUGAUCCACACUAUAAAAAAUAUUUAAAAAACAAAUUUUAUAAUUUUUAAAAAUCAUUAUCAAGUCUAUCGAAGAGUCGAAAAAUGAACGGUCAAAAACAAAUGACCUUCUGAAAACAGAUGUUAGGCUUUCUAAAUUUACGAUCGGAGUUAUUAAAUAUUAUCUAAAUAGUAUAAAAAAUUUUCUAUCAAAAAUUCAACCGAUUUAGAUUACUCUACACCGUUAAACAUGCAAACGGCUCAUAUAGGCCGUCAAAAAAUUGUUAAUUUUGCUAUCCUUUGAUCACUUUGUAAAUAAAUUUUAAAAUUUAUAAAAUUUAGUUCCUAGAUAUUUCAAAUACUCUAGAUCAACUUCAACGGUUCCAAUCAUCGAUUCGAGAUCUCUAUCAUCAAAAACUAUUUGAGAGGACAAAGGUUCCUAUCCUAUUAAUAGGAUAGCAGCUGGAUUUUAUAUAUAUAUAUAUAUAGAGAGAGAGAGAGAGAGAGAGAGAGAGAGAGAGAGAGAGUUGAGCUAGGAUACUUUUAGAAGCACCACCCACUUGGUGCUUCUAAGUUUCUAACUCUUGGAUCCAUUCCAUAAUUACUAAUAUCCCUGGAAUCAAACAUUAUUCCACAUACCACCACCUACCACCGCCUACCACCAUCAUCUCAACCUCACAUCUCACCAUCCAAGGGCUAAAAACUCUAAAGCACCACCCACUUGGUACUUCUAAAAGUAUUCUAGCUUCACUAUAUAUAUAUAUAUAUAUAUAAUCAAUUCGGAUUUGGGUUUGAUACAGUCAAAAUUCAUACCCGAAUCUAAAUCUGUCGAAUUUUCAUUUUUGAUAUCUAUAAAACAAUAUAUGUUUAGCAUCGAAUAAAUUUGCUCCUUUCAGAUUCGAAUUUGAAU